CUUCAACAAGUUGACAGGCCAAGUUCCAGCAAAUUUUGGAGAAAUGAUGGCACUGCAAUAUUUGUACCUGACUGACAAUAUGCUGACUGGAGAUUUGCCUGCUUGGAUGUUGAAAAACAAGGCAAGCAAUAAAGUAAACAUGGAUAUAUCAUAUAAUAACUUCACGGGUAACCCUCCUUCUGAGUGUCAGCAAGCAAAUGUAAAUAUGGUGUCAAGUUUUUCA